rnacentral:rRNA from 1 species
CAAGUACAUCGCCAACAGAACCCAACGCCUCUCCUCCUAGGGCUCCACCAGCCGCCGGCUGUCCCGAAGUGUUCCGCUCUGGCUCUGCUGCCGCCGACGGCCGGAGCAGUCCCCCAAGUCAGGAUCCGACGACUCGGGGGAGCAGAAAGGAAGAAAAUCCAACUACGCGCACCCUGAACUGGGGGAGAGGACGAGGUGCCCUAUGAGCGCGAUUCACAAUUGUCUGAUGCGUGGAAGAAUCAGCUUCAGAUGGAUCGAGGAGAUGGCCUGAGCUGGGGUGGCGCACAGCGCACGGGGAACAGGUACGCAACCCUAGCAAUUCCUGGUAGCGAAGGUAGGAGGGCGGAGGUGCGUGGGGGAAGCUCGGCGGAAGCCGAGCGAACAGCAAAGUCGCAAAUGCAGUCCAAGAUCAAACGCAGAAACACACAAGGGAUCACCUACUUCGGUCUCGUAUGGAAGAAAAACAAGAGCGACAUGAAUGCUAUCAACGCGGACGAUGUUAUCCUUGGAAGCAAGGAUGGUGUAGGUUCGUCCAUGAAACCAAUCUGCUGUCUCUGUCGCAAGCGGUAUUCCCCAGACUUGAUGUACAUCCGGUGUGAGAGAUGCAGAAAUUGGUUCCAUGGAGAUGCCUUGAGACUUGAGGAGGCAAAGAUUGCUGAAGUCAUAUCCUAUAGAUGCUGCAGAUGUCGGAGGAGGGCAAUACCGGGAUGUCCUCAUUCAGAUGAUUAUUAUCAUAAGAGGCCUGAACCAGAACCUGUCAUCCAAGAAAGUGCAGCUAAUAUUCCCUCAAGUGAGGAAGCUAUUGGCGCAGCAGAUGAAAAUACAUCAAGUGCUUCAUUUGGUAUAUUCGAGCAAACUGUAGAAGAUAUUCAUGCUGAUUCCUCAGUGCACAUGGAAACCUUUGUGCUGGGAAGUAAUCAAGAGAUGAACUUUGUGGAUGGUUCUUACAAUUCCGCACAUCCAUUCGAUAAAGUAGAAAUUAAGCAGGCUAUGAAGGACGCUCGCCCAUAUGAUGCAUGCUUUGCAUGGUAUACGCCUGGUAGUGGUACCUGCCAGCAAUUGGACCCUAUGGAUCCUGUGGAUGAUGCCCCCCUGCCAGUUCCCACUGUGGAGACCAACUUUGAGAAAGACCAAACUGCCGCACUUCACAGAGCUUAUGGUGGUUUUCGGGUUGUUGCUGCGGAGACUGGCUCAUUAUAUGAGCGGAUUAGACAGGGGGAUUAUCUCACUAAUGAUGAGAUCAUGGGGACCUUGGACAAGCUUCAGAAAGUUGCUCUACACCAAAUGAAGGAUAUUGCCAGCCAUGGCGUAGUCUACUCUGAGGUCCCGACACAACCAAUGCACAACGCAAGCACCUCCACCACCCGGCCAUCUGAUCACCAGAGUAGCCUCUAAGACUCCAGCACCAAAUGUGAUUGCUACAGCAUUGUAAUGAACUAUGCUAUCAAGUGACCUCUCAUCGAUGCGGCUUGCUCCUUGGGGUUAUACUUGAAGCAACAAAGCUGGUUUUGUGAUGAUGCUGUUAAGGAAGAUUUCUUAUACUGACGCUGCAUAACCCAUACUAGCAGCCCAUGCCAAUAUACCCCGUUUUGAGUUUCUGUCACCGAUGUCUAAUUAUCUUUGAAGUUCCUGGCUGUACCGUGUUGCUGCUGCAUGUGGCGCUGUCACCACUUACCAGCAUUUAAGGAGUAUAUCUUUUUGUUUCUUGCAAAAAAGUUAAGGAGUAUAUUUUUCUUUUUGAAAAAAUUUAAGGAGUACAUUUUUGGCCUUUAUGACCAUGAUUGCUGCAAGCUGGCAUGCUGUGUGGACCGUUCUUCAGUUAUAUACAUGUUCUGGGUCGUCUUACUAGGCAUGUACGUUGCGCAUUCUGGCAAAAGUUGUUUUGCUCGUGGAAAUACACCGUGCACCCCAAAAUACCUGAGAUUGUUUGUUUACAUGUACAAACAAAUUUCAAGAAACCAAGCCAUGUGA